GAUGAGGUCUUCCGUGCAGGGCGGAUAAAAGCAGGAGGCAGGCGGGCCAAACACAUUUCUUUGAUAACCGCCCACAGCCAGCUCAGCAUCCGGAGGGUGGUUCCAUAAACACCACUGACUGACAACAGCCAGGAUUCACUUCUUCCUCCACUCUGCCCACACCCUCUUUCCGUAAGAUAUUCCACUAUAUAAAUAUGUGUUGUCAUUUUGGCCAAAGUGAUGUCUUUUUUUUUUUUUUAACAUUUAUUUAUUAUUGAGAGAGAGACACAGAGCAUGAGCAGGGGAGGGGUAGAGAGAUGGGGAGACACAGAAUCCGAAGCAGGCUCCAGGCUCUGAGCUGACAGCACAGAGCCCGACGCGGGGCUCGAACUCAUGAACUGUGAGAUCAUGAUCCGAGCCGAAGUUGGACGCUCAACCGAUUGAGCCACCCAGGCGCCCCAACAAAAGUGGGUGUGGAGACAAGAAGCUUUAAGCGACAGCUACAGGAGCAGCAAACAAAGAUUUUGUGAACUGCGAUUAAAACCUGGGUUAUGCAGUGUGAUAGCAAUUUGAGCACCACUAUCUAGUCUAACAAUCAGCACAAGAUCUGCCAUUUUAAUCCAGCGGCUCCAGACAGGAGUAGACCGAAUAUCAACCAGCUCCUGACAAGUCACCAAAGAUGGCCUUGUAAGGUGUCUUCACCUUGGGAUUUCAGGCUAAAUUCCCACAGUUUCUUCAACUGAAGGCACUGCCUUAAUUCCCAUCCCACAAAUCGACCGUGUCUCACCGUGUUCGCACCUUGCCCCUUCCCCACAUUUCCUAGAAAGGUGGAAAAGACGUCAAACGUGAUUUCUACCUAUGGGUCCAGAAGAUGCAAUCAAAUGUCAAAGACACCCGGGUCAAGGACGUGUAGCCAGGAGCGUGUUUUUCCCUAAACACAACUGAACUGCUCCCCCCCCACGCCCACCCCCCAGCUUUCUGUCCGGUCAGCGCUCUUGGGCCUUGGGUAUCCAAUUCCUCUCUUAUCUGAAGGGAUUCUUCAAUGGCCCUUACACCCGGGAGCGCUGGGGCCUGCUGCCUCCAGCCACCUCUUGAACACAGUCAAGUGGGCAUGAACACCACUAAUACAGGAAACUGCACCGUGUCCAACCAGCAGCUACAGAAAACCAACAAUGGGUAACAUCUCCGAAGAGGGAACUGCCUGGAUUCCAUUUCUGAAAUUGGACAAAUUUAGUUUUUAAAUACCUCCUAGGGUCACCACUUCUUGAUCAUUCCACUCAUCGGGACCAUCUUUUCUCGCCGCACAUAACCUUUGCUUAAGGGCUCACCGUGGCUCCCUUUGGAAGCGUCUUAACUGUAUAUACGUCUCUACCAUUCUACCUUAUUAGGGUGAUCCUGUAACUGCUUUUAUAAUCUAGAAACCGUCUUUGGAUAAUUAUAAACACCUUAACUAAUUCAAAUCACGUUCGUACUUUUGACCUAGUUAUUUCUGUGAAUUUAUCCCAAGGAAAUAAGGUUUUACUGUCAUGGUGUCUAAAGCAUCAAAGAAUUAGACAUAAUUAACGUUUUUAACAUUAGGAAGAUGGUUCACAAAUUAUAGCACAUUAAUGUGAUUCAACAUUAUUUAUUAUUACUGUAGAGGCUUUGUCAAAGAGUUGGUAAACUGGGGCACCUUAAGUAAAAGGAGUAUUCGAAAUACGCCACAUAAAUAAAAUGAAAACUAAAACACGUAAGAUGAAAACAUGUUUACAUGAGAGACAAAAUCUGUAAGUAAUUUGAAAAUAUCUUGUUGGUUUUAACAAAUAAAUACAAAAUACUUGCUAACCAGGAGUUUGAGGAAAAUUAAUUUUGCCCCGAUUCCAAACUAAGAUAUGGACCUACUUCUCCUUUAUUUAGAGUUAACCCCAGUGGAAUUUAUAAGCUUUCCUAAAUUUUACGGGAGUCUACUAAAAGAAAUCAAAGUACCACCAAUGGGUUAAAAGACAAACCAUGGUAGUAGCAUCAAUAUCUACUCAAUCUCUUUCAAAUGGACUUGAGGGGCGCCUGGGUGGCUCAGUCGGUUGAGUGUCCGACUUCAGCUCAGGUCAUGAUCUCACGGUUCGUGAGUUCGAGCCCCAUGUCAGGCUCCGUGCUGACGGCUCAGAGCCUGGAGCCUGCUUCAGAUUCUGUGCCUCCCUGUCUCUCUGCCCCUCCCCUGUUCAUGCUCUGUCUCUGUCUCUGUCAAAAAUAAAUAAAAACAUUUUAAAAAGUUAAAAAAAAUAAAUAAAUAAAAAGUAAAAUGGACUUGAGAUUGCAAGGAUUCACAAACACACCCCUAAAAUGCAUAAGCCAUAAACUUAUCAAAGUACUUCCCAAAUUAAAACACUGCAGUGGCAUCAUAACAUCACCCUAAUUAUC